rnacentral:rRNA from 3 species
CAACCCUCGAACCCCUCCGGGGGGUCGGCGUUGGGGACCUCGGGAGCCCCUAAGACGGGAUCCCGGCCCCGAAAUACAGUGGCGGUCUCGCCGCAGCCUCUCCUGCGCAGUAGUUUGCACAACUCGCACCGGGAGCGCGGCGCGUCCACGUCCGUAAAACACCCAACUUCUGAAAUG